AUUGAACGCUGGCGGCAGGCUUAACACAUGCAAGUCGAGCGGUAGCACAGGAGAGCUUGCUCUCUGGGUGACGAGCGGCGGACGGGUGAGUAAUGUCUGGGAAACUGCCUGAUGGAGGGGGAUAACUACUGGAAACGGUAGCUAAUACCGCAUAACGUCGCAAGACCAAAGAGGGGGACCUUCGGGCCUCUUGCCAUCAGAUGUGCCCAGAUGGGAUUAGCUAGUAGGUGGGGUAAUGGCUCACCUAGGCGACGAUCCCUAGCUGGUCUGAGAGGAUGACCAGCCACACUGGAACUGAGACACGGUCCAGACUCCUACGGGAGGCAGCAGUGGGGAAUAUUGCACAAUGGGCGCAAGCCUGAUGCAGCCAUGCCGCGUGUGUGAAGAAGGCCUUCGGGUUGUAAAGCACUUUCAGCGAGGAGGAAGGUGGUGAGCUUAAUACGCUCAUCAAUUGACGUUACUCGCAGAAGAAGCACCGGCUAACUCCGUGCCAGCAGCCGCGGUAAUACGGAGGGUGCAAGCGUUAAUCGGAAUUACUGGGCGUAAAGCGCACGCAGGCGGUUUGUUAAGUCAGAUGUGAAAUCCCCGGGCUCAAC
rnacentral:rRNA from 1 species